GUGCCAGCAGCCGCGGUAAUACGUAGGGUGCGAGCGUUGUCCGGAUUUAUUGGGCGUAAAGAGCUCGUAGGCGGUUUGUCGCGUCUAUCGUGAAAACCGGGAGCUUAACUCCUGGCUUGCGGUGGAUACGGGCAGACUUGAGUUCGGUAGGGGAGACUGGAAUUCCUGGUGUAGCGGUGAAAUGCGCAGAUAUCAGGAGGAACACCGGUGGCGAAGGCGGGUCUCUGGGCCGAUACUGACGCUGAGGAGCGAAAGCGUGGGGAGCGAACAGGAUUAGAUACCCUGGUAGUCC
rnacentral:rRNA from 1 species